GUUAGACGAGAGUUUCUUUAUGAACUGGGCCAGUUAUACAACAUGCUGCUGAUGUAACGCCAUAAAACAUUAAAGCAACAGGCAGCGUGGUGCGGCGCCUUCUCUUCUUCUUCUUAUUCUUCUUCUUCUUCUUCUUUUGGCUCGCCUUAGACGGGUUUUUCCCCGUUUAUGAUUCUGCAGUUUACUUUCAGCAACUGUGAAUAUUCACACACAGUACACACACACACACACACACACACACACACACAUACUGCACACACACACACACAUACUGUACACACACAAACAAUACACAUACAUACAGUACACAUACACACACACACACAUACUGCACACACACACACACAUACUGUACACACACAAACAAUACACAUACAUACAGUACACACACACACACACACUGUACACAUACAUACAGUACACACACACACACACACACACACACACAUACUGCACACACACACACACACACACAUACAGUACACACACAAACAAUACACACACAUACAAUACACACACAUACAAUACCACACAAACAAUACACACACAUACAAUACACACACAAACAAUACACACACAAACAAUACACACACAUACAAUACACACACAACAAUACACACACAUACAAUACACACACAUACAAUACACACACAAAACAAUACACCACACAUACAAUACACACACAAACAAUACACACACAAACAAUACACACACAUACAAUACACACACAAACAAUACACACACAUACAAUACACACACAUACAAUACACACACACACACCUGACAGCUGCAGAGGGUUGUGUGUGCUGUUGGUCUUGCUACAGUGAGGUGAUGAUGAUUACUACAAGAGUUUUAGCUGUAAAUCUGCAGUAAAUAAACACUGAUAAUAAAUUCAUAACAAUUCACUCUUCUGACCCCUUCUGCGUUUACACCUUCAGUCACUAGUGAGUUUUUAUCCCGUUUAUGUUACAGUAGAUGAGUUUUUAUCCCGUUUAUGUUACAGUAGAUGAGUUUUUAUCCCGUUUAUGUUACAGUAGAUGAGUUUUUAUCCCGUUUAUGUUACAGUAGUUGUGCUUUUGGCCCGUUUAUGUUACAGUAGAUGAGUUUUAUCCCGUUUAUGUUACAGUAGAUGUGUUUUUGGCCCGUUUAUGUUACAGUAGAUGAGUUUUUUAUCCCGUUUAUGUUACAGUAGAUGUGUUUUUGGCCCGUUUAUGUUACAGUAGAUGAGUUUUUAUCCCGUUUAUGUUACAGUAGAUGUGUUUUCUCCCGUUUAUGUUACAGUAGAUGUGUUUUUGGCCCGUUUAUGUUACAGUAGAUGUGUUUUUGGCCCGUUUAUGUUACAGUAGAUGAGUUUUAUCCCGUUCAUGUUACAGUAGAUGAGUUUUUAUCCCGUUCAUGUUACAGUAGAUGAGUUUUUAUCCCGUUUAUGUUACAGUAUAUGAUUUUUUAUCCCGUUUAUGUUACAGUAGAUGAGUUUUUAUCCCGUUUAUGUUACAGUAGAUGAGUUUUUAUCCCGUUUAUGUUACAGUAGAUGAGUUUAUCCCGUUAUGUUACAGUAGAUGUGUUCUUGGCCCGUUUAUGUUACAGUAGAUGUGUUUUUAUCCCGUUUAUGUUACAGUAGAUGUGUUUUAUCCUGUUUAUGUUACAGUAGAUGUGUUCUUGGCCCGUUUAUGUUACAGUAGAUGUGUUUUAUCCUGUUUAUGUUACAGUAGAUGAGUUUUUUAUCCCGUUUAUGUUACAGUAGAUGUGUUUCUUGCCUUGCUCUUUUAUAGUAUAUGUGUCUUUGUCCUGUUUGUGUUUUUCAAUUGUUUGUGUUUAGGGCUGCAACUACCUAUUAUUUUCAUAGUUGAUUGGUUGGCCAAUUAUUUUUGCGAUUAUUCGGAUGGGGGCGGGGCAAACUUACAGUACACUGUUUUUUUGUUUUAUUUAUAAUGAAAUCCUCAAACUGAGUUUUACAAAUAUAAACACACACUAAAACUUUACACAACUCUUUGUCCAAAACAGAAAAGAACCCAACACACACACACACACACACACACACACACACAAACACACACCAGCA
ensembl:lncRNA